UUUGACACACACACACACGCUUUAUACAAAAAAGGAGAGCAAACUUUAAACUUUGCACUAACAGCAGCAGCAGUUCCCCAAUGUAAAGUGGUAAACCAGGAGUGCGGAGCAGAGCAGGAGGGUGGGGAGGUCCAGCUGCAAUUGGAAUACUACUGCUCCGUUCCACAGUACGAACGACCACGGCACAAACUCCAGAAGGAAAUUACAAACCAAAGUAAACGCCAAGAGCAGCCAAGGAAGUUGUUGACGCAGGACGAGCGCCGGCGCUGAGUGUCAGUGUCAUAUCCUGUGCCAAAAGUGCACACAGAACACCAGACCCCAGGCCAGACCCAUAACCGAGAGCCAAGCGCCAAGCCCCAGUCGAGUCGGGUCGAGACUCCGAAACCCAGACAGAGACUGAGGCUGCACAUUACAAAUGAAUAAUUUAUGCGCGCGCUCUCAACGGCAGAUGGAUGUGGGAUAUAGAUGGGAAUGGGUAUGGGUGUGGGGAUGGGAAUGGGAGCCACUGCAGACUCCUGCCACCCAUAGACACAGUCACGGAGGACUGCGGCAACGUCCAAUCCUGGUCAAUGCCAAAUGAGUUGUGGCAACGUCUCGCUGGUGCCAUAAAAGAGAACAAGGCAAACGGGAAGGCAAACGGGAAGCUGUUGCUCUGCAUAAACUAAAAUCGUUUGCACCGAAAAA